rnacentral:miRNA from 1 species
UCACUCUGUAGACCAGGCUGG